UCAAGGCAACGUCACUAGUCCGGGGCCGGCCUGGAGCGGAGAAGAGGGCCUCCCGGGGAAGAUGGACAGCCCGGAACGACUAACCCUCCCCACUGGACGGUCCCUGCAGCAUAGAUGGCCCGGACCAGCUUACCCUUCCUUUCCACCGAGGGGAGGUUCAGAACUGUAGAACGACUCAUACAGGCAUCCGGCGAACCUGAUGCAUUCCAAUGACUGUAGGAGGCGCUACUACUGUACAUCUUGAGGCAUCUUCCACAGAGGUUCAUCAGUUCCAGAUAGAGCGGCGUUCCAUUAGGAAAUAAAAUCGUAUUGCUUCUUACGAAGGACACAAAGAAGGGACAUUAUUCACUUUAAAUAAGAUUAAAUCUUUUUAAGGGAGCCAAUUACACUGGUAAACACCACCUGGAGGAGAAGAUGUAAAAACCUAAGAGGAAUCGAGAGACUACGUUGGGCAAAUCCACCAACCUUCCAAGGUCACGUCAAGGGCGAACACCUUCUUCCAUCCCUGUUUCUUCAUACACAUUGAUACCUGACAGGACUUUUUUGGCAACACAAAAGAUCUAUUAUCUGGUCUUUGUUCCCUUCACCAUAAAGUAAAUGACCUACUGGAGAGUAAAGCAGACGACUCGAAAGAAAACCCAGUGGUCACUUCAAUUUGUCUCAGUUGGAAUCGAAAAAAAUCACAAACUGAUUCAAUAAGAUUCUAGAAGACAAUAGGGUAACGAAAGAAGCAUGAAAUGGAAACACAUUCACUUUUUUUUUCCCUUUUAGAAUGAUAGAAUUGAUAAAUCAAGUAAAAAAAUAAAUCUGUCAUUUUGUUAGACAUAACUCAAAAAAUGACAAAAAAAAAAAAAUCAAAUAAAAAUAAAAAAAUGACAAUAAAAUCAGCAAAUCUAGUCGAAGGCUGUUGAAAUGAAUAAAUGUCAUGUUCGGCUUCACGAGGGAAAGUGACUGGCAACGUUCUGCUUAAGGCGGCUAAAUCCAAUG